rnacentral:rRNA from 1 species
AUUUUCUUUUACUAAAGCAGACAGCAGAUGCCUUGGUUUUUCAGGCCGAAGAAGGACGUAGAUGGCCACGAUAGNNNNNNNNNNNNNNNNNNNNNNNNNNNNNNCGGCGAUGUCCGAAUGGGGAAACCCCUCCUUGUGCAAACAAGGAGUACCCCGAUGUUUACAUCGGGGUAGGGAACCCGGGGAACUGAAACAUCUAAGUACCCGGAGGAAAAGAAACCGAAUAGGAUUGCCUGAGUAGCGGCGAGCGAAAAGGCAACAGCCCAAACCCCACCAUUUCUGUACCGAAGUUAGAUAAAUCUAUUUUUUCAAUGAAGUUGAGAGAUAGAUAAAUCAUUUGAUUUCGAUCUGGAAAUGGUGGGGGGUUGUAGGACUCCAAUGUGGGAGUGUUAGCGAUAAAAGAACUACCUGGAAAGGUGGACCAAAGAGGGUGAUAGUCCCGUAUUUGAAAUCAAUAACACCUCUAGGAGAUUCCUGAGUAACUCAGGAGACGGCAAACUCCGGAGCGAAGCUGGGGCGACCAUGCUCCAAGGCUAAAUACCUGAAAAGUCCGAUAGUGAACUAGUACCGUGAGGGAAAGGCGAAAAGAAGGGUGAGAGACCCAGUGAAAUAGAACCUGAAACUGUCUGCUAUCAAACCGAGAGAGCUUUGUCCUUCGGACAAGGAAUUUCUAAUCCGUCAACUGACGGACUAAUCAACCUAAUUUUUAAUAAAUGACUAAUGACUAAAUGUCUAAUGACCAAAAAGUUUGGCAUUUUUACAUUUAAAAUUUGGGAUUCCUGCCUGCCGGCAGGUGUUUAGAAAUUAGUAAUUAGAGUAAUUAGGAAUUUCCCGUCCGGAGGACGGGUGAUCUCGUGCCUAUUGAAGAAUGAACCGGCGAGUUGCUCAGAUAUUGCAAGUCUAACCCCACUCUUUGUGGUGGAAUAUAGAAAAUCGAGAUAGUUUAUAAAAAGAUUUUCUUUAAUCAGCCAGCCUUUUGAGUUCGACCUCAAAGAGUGGGGGGAGGCGGAGUGAAAGCGAGGGUGAAUAGCCCGUUUAGCAAUAUUUGGCAGACCCGAAACCAGGCGAUCUACCCAUGGACAGGGUGAACUCCGAUGAAAAUCGGGGGGAGGCCCGCACCAGUGUCAGUUACAAAUGGCUUGGACGAGCUGUGGGUAGGGGUAAUAUGCCAAUCGAGCCUGGAGAUAGCUGGUUCUCCCCGAAACAUGUUUAGGCAUGGCCUCAAGUAAUACUGGUUGGGGGUAGAGCUACUGGAUGGGUAUUAAGUCGUAAGAUUUGAUAUUUAACCAAACUCCGAAUACCAAUCAUGUCUAUCUUGAGAGUCAGACUGCGAGGGCUAAUCUCCGUAGUCAAAAGGGAAACAACCCAGAUCCUCAUCUAAGGCCUCUAAAUCAAUGCUAAGUUGUAAAGGAAGUCUUAGUUCUUAAACAGCCAGGAAGUCGGCUUAGAAGCAGCCAUCUUUUAAAGAAAGCGUAACAGCUCACUGGUCGAUGAUCUAAGGCGCCGAAAAUUUAAGGAGGAUAAGCAUUGUGCCGAAGGUAGGAAUUCUUUGCCAGAGACUAGAGUGUGGUGCUUGGUCCCACUUCGUUCCAAUUAUGGAACUUCGUUAGGGACCACCCUUCGCCAGAAAUGGUGAAGUGGCUGCGCCACCCCGUAGCCUCUGGCGAAGGGUGGUAGGGGAGCGUUGUUGUUGCAGUGAAGGUCAGAUGUAAGUUUGGCUGGAGUGACAACAAGUGAGAAUGCCGGUACGAGUAGCGAGGUUGGGGUGAGAAUCCCCAAUGCCGAAAGCCCAAGGUUUCCGUCUCAACGUUCGUCGGAGACGGGUAAGUCGACCCUAAGGCGUACCCCGUAUAAUGCGGGGGUAGCCGAUGGAUAACAGGUUGAUAUUCCUGUACUUUUAUCUUUUCGUUUGACUGGAAGGCAUGACGAGAUUGGAUAGCUCAGGCGAAACUUUGAAAUUGUUUCGUUGAAGCGGCCAGACAGUUCUAGUUGGCAAAUCCGCUGGAACUACAUCGAACCGUGAUAAAAAGUUCAAUCGCAAGUGAGAACAAUUUGAGUGACUUCAGUGUCCGAGAAAAGUGUCGCCAGGAGAAAAGGUAAAAAUCGUACCACAAACCGACACAGGUGGGCUGGUCGAGUAGACCAAGGCAAGCGAGAAAACUGUGGUUAAGGAACUCGGCAAAUUAUCUGGACGUAACUUAGGAAGAUGUCCUACCCCCGUAGAAAUGCGAGGGUUGCAACAAAAGAAUCUCAAGCGACUGUUUAGCAAAAACACAGGUCUGUGCAAAAGCGUAAGCUGAAGUAUACAGGCUGAGGCCUGCCCAGUGCCGGUAGGUUAAAAAACCUUGUCCUUCGGACGGGGGUAAUCAGAUUAAUACUCAAAUAAACCAAUGAUUUUUAGACUUGUUUAUUGGAAAGAUUUGAAUAUUUGGUUAUUCGCGCCCGAAGGGCGAGGGAUUGAAGCCCCGGUGAACGGCAGCAGUAACUAUAAACACAGUUUGUAGUUAUAAAACUUGGCUAUAUGCUGGAAAAUCUUGACAGGUUGUUUGUACUGCUGUUUAAUAAAAACAGAGUGAAAAUCAAACAAAUAGAGACAAUCAGCAGGAAAGACCAGACAGUAUUUAAAGAAAAAGUUCCCGACUCAAUUGGAUGGUAUUUAGCUGGUUUUGUCGAUGGAGAAGGGAGUUUUAAUAUCUCCCUUCGUAGAAAGCCCGACUAUAAAGUUGGGUGGCAACCAGUUUUAUCAUUCAAUGUUUCUCAAAAAGAACUGACAAUUUUGCUUUUAAUGAAGAAUUAUUUUGAUUGUGGCAUUAUAAAACGUCGAAAAGACGGUUUAUAUUCUUAUGAUGUUACUAAUCCGAAAGCGAUUAAAGAAAUAAUUUUGCCAUUUUUUGAGAAAUAUCAUUUUCUUUCCGAAGGGAAAAAAAGAAAUUAUGAACUUUUUAAGAAAAUAGCUCAAUUAAUGUUCAAGAAAAAACAUUUAGAGCAAAAAGGAUUCAGGAAAUUAGUAAAAAUUAGAGAAAAAUUAAAUAUUGGGAAGGGUAGGAAACGUAAAUAUACUUUAAAUACUGUUUUGGAAUCCUCAGAGACUAUACGCCAAGUCCCGGUGUAACACCGGGAAUGAUAUAGUCCGACCUGCAUGGAGACAUGCAGACUACGUAUUCAAACGUAGUCCCGACGAAACGUCGGGAUAACAAAGUGAACUGUUCUAUGGUAGCGAAGUUCCUUGUCGGGUAAAUCGAGAGAUCUUGCCCAUGAUGGCUAUAUCGGUGGAGCCUAAAUCCGCGUGCGGCGGAUAUGGUAAUACCGAGGGAAGUCCCGCAUUUUGCGGGACCCCGUAGAGACUACACGCCGUCCUCCUUAAUGGAGAAGAUAUAGUCCACGCCUCGGCAAAAGCCGAGGGUCGGGUACCCCGAUACUAAAAAUUUGAAUGCUUCACUCGACUUGUUCAGUCGUGUUUCGCUUCAUAUUUUAAUAUGGGGGUUACUCAUCGCCAUGAAUGGCGAAUUCGUGAAGUUCCGACCCGCACGAAAGGUGUAACGACUUGAGAACUGUCUUGACCACUGACUCGGCGAACAAUGCAAUGGCUGUGAAGAUGCGGCCUACGUACACCUGGACAAAAAGACCCCGUGGAGCUUUACUGCAGCUUGGCAUUGUGCCGUUUUUUUGGGUUGUUUAGAAUAGGAGGGACCCCGACCUUGCGUCGGGGAUCAGUGAAAUACCUCUCGCUUGGAAAGACGGAACUAACCUGCAAAUCUUUAAUGGAGAUUUAGGGACAGUGUCUGGUGGGCAGUUUCGCUGGGGAGGCGGUUUGCUAAAAGGUACCGCAAACGCACAAAGGUACUCUUACUCCGGAUGGAAAUCGGAGUGGACGUGCAACGGCAGAAGAGUGCUUGACUGUGACACUUACAAGUGAAGCAGAGACGAAAGUCGGUCAUAGUGAUCCUCGGAUGUGUCAUGGGACACACCGGGCUUAUCGGAUAAAAGCUACCCCGGGGAUAACAGAGUAGUCGCGCCCAAGAGUUCAUAUCGACGGCGCGGUUCGCUACCUCGAUGUCGGCUCAGCGUAUCCUGGGGCUGAAGACGGUCCCAAGGGUUGGUCUGUUCGCCCAUUAAAACGCUACGUGAGCUGGGUUCAGAGCGUCGUGAGACAGCUGAGGCUGAGACAUUCAGUCUGACAACGAACUGUCUCUUUCCUUCGAUGUUUUGAAGUUUUUUGUCUUUUUGUCCAAAUCUUUGAAUAAGGAAAUAU